rnacentral:rRNA from 1 species
UACAGAGGUCCCGAGCGUUGUUCGGAUUCACUGGGCGUAAAGGGUGCGUAGGUGGUGGAGUAAGUUUGAUGUGAAAUCUCCGGGCUUAACCCGGAAACUGCAUUGAAUACUAUUUUGCUGGAGGUUUGGAGGGGGGACUGGAAUUCUCGGUGUAGCAGUGAAAUGCGUAGAUAUCGGGAGGAACAUCAGUGGCGAAGGCGGCUGCCUGGCCCAAUACUGACACUCAGGUGCGACAGCGUGGGGAGCAAACAGG